CUCAUUUGCAGGUGUGACUGCUUAGUAUAAUGUGGCGCAGGUUGUCUUGUACAUCUAAAAUAGGAUUUGAGCACUGGGCUCAUGAAAAUCCAAAAUUACUAAGAUAUCUUCUGAGAGUGCCAUUAUUAAAGAACAGUUUUAAAAAAUGGGGAAACCAGACUCAGGGCUCAGGAAACAAGGUUUUCUAUCCAUGUGGUUUCAGACCUGAUUCAGUAAUGUCGUCUGAGCACAUACUCUAAGAGUUGCUGCUAAAAACAAAAAACAGAAGAACCUACAGAGGAGGCAUCCAAAUCUACAAAAACUAAUCUCGCUUCAAUUUCCAGAGG